rnacentral:rRNA from 1 species
ACUCAAAUGAAUUGACGGGGGCCCGCACAAGCGGUGGAGCAUGUUGUUUAAUACGUCACUAACCGUAGAACCUUACCAGGGUUUGACAUGUGCUGUCACGCGGUGAAAGCCGCCUCUCCUUAACCGGAGCAGCAACACAGGUGUUGCAUGGCUGUCGUCAGCUCGUGUCGUGAGAUGUUGGGUUAAGUCCCGCAACGAGCGCAACCCUCAUCCCCUGUUGCCAGCGGGUAAAGCCGGGAACUCUGGGGAAACUGCCGGGGUAACUCGGAGGAAGGUGAGGACGACGUCAAGUCAGCAUGGCCCUUACAUCCUGGGCUACAAACAUGCUACAAUGGACGGUAGACAGACCGCUCCGACCUCGCAAGGGGAAGGCAAUCGGCAAAAUCCGUUCUCAGUUCGGAUCGCAGGCUGCAACUCGCCUGCGUGAAGCUGGAAUCGCUAGUAACCGCCGGUCAGCUAAACGGCGGUGAAUACGUUCCCGGGCCUUGUACACACCGCCCGU